rnacentral:tRNA from 1 species
ACCUGGCUAGCUAAUUGGUAGAGCAUGUCACUCUUGAUCUCAAGGUCAUGAGUUCGAGCCCCAUGUUGGGUG